AUCGGUUCUCGGCCUUUUGGCUCAGAUCAAGUGUAGUAUCUGUUCUUGUCAGUUUAAUAUCUGAUACGUCCCCCAUCGGGGGACUACAUAUUAAAUGGAUUUUUCGAACAGGGAGUCGGAAAUGGGGCUUGCUCCGUCCGCUCCACGCAUCGACCCGGUAUUGCAGUACCUCCGGGAACGGUGCAACACUU
rnacentral:snRNA from 8 species